UUUAGAGGAACGUCGGCUAAGGCCCGCCACGUCCAUGUGACGAACGCCGACGCCAGCACAUCCUGUGCA
rnacentral:sRNA from 1 species